rnacentral:rRNA from 1 species
GGCGAACGGGUGACUAAUAUAUCGGAACGUGCCCAGUCGUGGGGGAUAACGUAGUGAAAAUUACGCUAAUACCGCAUACGAUCUAAGGAUGAAAGCGGAGGAUCGCAAGACCUCGCGCGAUUGGAGCGGCCGAUAUCAGAUUAGGUAGUUGGUGAGGUAAAGGCUCACCAAGCCAACGAUCUGUAGCUGGUCUGAGAGGACGACCAGCCACACUGGAACUGAGACACGGUCCAGACUCCUACGGGAGGCAGCAGUGGGGAAUUUUGGACAAUGGACGCAAGUCUGAUCCAGCCAUUCCGCGUGCAGGACGAUGGCCUUCGGGUUGUAAACUGCUUUUGUACAGAACGAAAAGGUCUCUAUUAAUACUAGGGGCUCAUGACGGUACCGUAAGAAUAAGCACCGGCUAACUACGUGCCAGCAGCCGCGGUAAUACGUAGGGUGCAAGCGUUAAUCGGAAUUACUGGGCGUAAAGCGUGCGCAGGCGGUUAUGUAAGACAGAGGUGAAAUCCCCGGGCUCAACCUGGGAACUGCCUUUGUGACUGCAUAGCUAGAGUACGGUAGAGGGGGAUGGAAUUCCGCGUGUAGCAGUGAAAUGCGUAGAUAUGCGGAGGAACACCGAUGGCGAAGGCAAUCCCCUGGACCUGUACUGACGCUCAUGCACGAAAGCGUGGGGAGCAAACAGGAUUAGAUACCCUGGUAGUCCACGCCCU